rnacentral:rRNA from 1 species
CCUCCGGGGGGCAGCAGUGAGGAAUAUUGGUCAAUGGGCGUAAGCCUGAACCAGCCAAGUCGCGUGAGGGAUGAAGGUUCUAUGGAUCGUACACCUCUUUUAUAAGGGAAUAAAGUGUGGGACGUGUCCUAUUUUGUAUGUACCUUAUGAAUAAGGAUCGGCUAACUCCGUGCCAGCAGCCGCGGUAAUACGGAGGAUCCGAGCGUUAUCCGGAUUUGUUGGGGUUAAAGGGUGCGUAGGCGGCCUUUUAAGUAAGCGGUGAAAGUCUGUGGCUCAACCAUAGAAUUGCCGUUGAAACUGGGGGGCUUGAGGAUGUUUGAGGCAGGCGGAAUGCUGGGUGUAGCGGUGAAAUGCUUAGAUAUCACGCAGAACCCCGAUUACGAAGGCAGCCUGCCAAGCCAUGACUGACGCUGAUGCACGAAAGCGUGGGGAUCAAACAGGAUUAGAUACCCUUGUAGUC